GGACCCGCACAAGCAGUGGAGCAUGUGGUUUAAUUCGAUGCGACGCGAAGAACCUUACCAGGGCUUGGAAUCGGGAACCCGAGCGAGAAGCGGGUACUGCCCUGUCGGUAUCCGCCGGUCGCUUGUGGCGACACCCGUAGAGGUGGUGCAUGCUGUCGUCAGCUCGUGUCGUGAGAUGUUGGGUUGAGUCCCGCAACGAGCGCAACCCACGUCUUUAGUUGCCAGCAUUUAGUUGGGCACUCUAGAGAGACUGCCGGUGAUAAACCCGGAGGAAGGUGUGGAUGACGUCAAGUCAUCAUGCCCCUUACAUCCUGGGCUACACACGUACUACAAUGCUACGGACAAAGGGCAGCAAGUUCGCGAGGAC
rnacentral:rRNA from 1 species